UAACAUAUUUUACUUCUUUAUGAUAUACCGUAUUUCCUGGCAAAGAAGACGCACCUGCAUUGAAGACGCACCCCCACUUUGUGUUGCUAAAUUUUGAAAAA